CCUCACCACUCACCAGCAGGGACCCUCCAAGAACCUCUGCUGAAUUUAUUUGGCUGACAAAGAAAAACAAUUUUCUGAGCUGCCUAUUUAAUAACCCCUCAGCACAGCUAAAUGAUGUCUC
ensembl:misc_RNA